rnacentral:rRNA from 1 species
UACAGGGGGUGCAAGCGUUAUUCGGAUUUACUGGGCGUAAAGAGCGUGUAGGCGGUUUGUUAAGUCUGGUGUGAAAGCCCUGGGCCCAAUCCAGGAAGUGCAUUGGAUACUGGCAGACUAGAGUACGGGAGAGGAUGGCGGAAUUCCUGGUGUAGAGGUGAAAUUCGUAGAUAUCAGGAGGAACAACAGUGGCGAAGGCGGCCAUCUGGACCGUUACUGACGCUAAGGCGCGAAAGCGUGGGGAGCAAACAGG